rnacentral:rRNA from 1 species
AUACGUAGGGGGCGAGCGUUGUCCGGAAUGAUUGGGCGUAAAGGGCGCGUAGGCGGCCCGGUAAGUCUGGAGUGAAAGUCCUGUUUUUAAGAUGGGAAUUGCUUUGGAUACUGUCGGGCUUGAGUGCAGGAGAGGUAAGUGGAAUUCCCAGUGUAGCGGUGAAAUGCGUAGAGAUUGGGAGGAACACCAGUGGCGAAGGCGACUUACUGGACUGUAACUGACGCUGAGGCGCGAGAGUGCGGGGAGCAAACAGGAUUAGAUACCCUGGUAGUCCACACUGUAAACGAUGAAUGCUAGGUGUAAGAGGUAUCGACCCCUUUUGUGCCGGAGUUAACACAAUAAGCAUUCCGCCUGGGGAGUACGGCCGCAAGGUUGAAACUCAAAUGAAUUGACGGGG